rnacentral:rRNA from 1 species
CCUACGGGAGGCAGCAGUAGGGAAUCUUCCACAAUGGGCGAAAGCCUGAUGGAGCAACGCCGCGUGAGUGAUGAAGGCCUUCGGGUUGUAAAACUCUGUCAUUCGGGACGAACCGGAGUCUGAGGAAAUGCAGACUCUCUGACGGUACCGGAGGAGGAAGCCCCGGCUAACUACGUGCCAGCAGCCGCGGUAAUACGUAGGGGGCAAGCGUUGUCCGGAUUCACUGGGCGUAAAGCGCGCGCAGGCGGUGAUGUAAGUCUGAGGUGAAAACCCGAAGCUCAACUUCGGGACUGCCUUGGAUACUGCGUCACUUGAGGAUAGGAGAGGCAAGGGGAAUUCCACGUGUAGCGGUGAAAUGCGUAGAGAUGUGGGGGAACACCUGUGGCGAAGGCGCCUUGCUGGCCUAUUUCUGACGCUGAGGCGCGAAAGCGUGGGGAGCAAACAGGAUUAGAUACCCUGGUAGUCCACGCUGUAAACGAUGAGUGCUAGGUGUAGGUGGGCUCAUACCACUCUGUGCCGACGCGUAGCGCGAUUAAGUAACGACGUCCGUUCCGUUCGGGGUAGGGUUACGGGUUCGGCGAGACGUUGAACGUUACGAAGUUAGAGUUAGACGGCGUUGAGACGUUGCCGACGGACGACGACGAGGGGAGGUAGG